GUAUUGAUCUCAAGUAAAUCAUCCCCACAUCACCCUUUUCUCCAUCCACAAGUUUUCGCGUCAGGGGAGCAACCCACUGCAAGAUAUUUUCGUAGAUUUCGUUUUUUUUUUUUUGGGCCGCGGGGUGGGGGAGGGGGGAGCAUCCUCCAUCUCUUCAAAUUAACAAAUUCCAUCACUUGGGGGUCAGAAUCAAGAUAUAAAGAUGGUGGGAAAUGGAAGAAACCCGAAGCAAAAUUGGGAAAUUUGGGUCUGCUCUUUGAAUGCCUCAGAGAAAUUUAGUUGAAUUUAUCUGUGAAAUUGUUGUUUUUUGUUCCUAAUGUGCUAUUGAAAGCUCUGGAGGCAGAGCACCCAAUAAUCGACUCCAAUUUCCAGACGAACACAAGGUCAUCUUCUCUGCAGGUUCUUCUCUACCAGAGAAGUGGGCUUAAUUUGAAAAGAGUUUUAUAGAAAGGAGAACGCGGAGUGCCGGGUGGCUGGAAGAGGCGGAAGAGCUCAUCAUGUCAAUGCCAGAAAAGCCUAAUUGGGUACGGACACAUGAUGACCUGAGGAGAGGGAACCUUGCGUUCAAGCACUUUACUGAACUGGAACCAAUGUCUAAGAUUGUUGGUCAUUGAUGAAAAUGAAAUUGGAACUCCUUUCUUUACGUUGGAAGACUGCAAAACCGCAAAAAAGGGCAAUCCUCUCAUGGACAUGCAAUACUCUUGAUACGUAAAGGGGCUUUCAGCACAAAUUAAUAAGAGCAUACACCAGUGCAAAUGAGUUUCAGCAUGUUCCUCUCUCUGCUCUCUGUGGGAGGAGGUUAUCAGAAAGUUACUCACCCUUGGUGUCUCCAUAAGCUCAAGUCUGGACUUGUGCCGGAACUGGUUCAUGUGUCAAGCAUGCACGCACCAAGGACCAAGUCGCUCUACCCGCAUGGAGAAAGC